rnacentral:lncRNA from 1 species
UUAUAUUGGCAUGUAUAUGUGGUAUUAUGGUUGGUGUGCUUUUGACACUUUGAUGCUUUGAUGGUUGGUGUUGAUUUGGUUAAGUGGAUGUAUGUUUUGAAUGACCAAUUUGGUAAGUUAGGAUGUGAUUUGGUAUAUGGUCAAUUGUGUUAUAUUUUGGUAUGGAAAUAAGUAGUUGUGUAUGGUUGAUGAAUGGCCAAAUAUGCACAUGUUUAGAUAGGUUUGAUGAAUUGUGAUUGAGGUGCCUUUUGGCAUAAUGGUUGUAUGGAUAUUGUUAUGAAGAUUUGGUCAUUUUUUGCAUGGUUUGGACAUGAUUUAGGGUCUUGAUUAUAUGUGCAAAUGUAUUGUAGGUUCAUGUUGAUUUGGGUGAAAGAAACAACUUGAUUUUGGCCAAAUUCUUGUCCACACGGCCUAAGACAUGGGUAUGUGUCUCAGCUGUGUGUGACACACAACCAUGCGACACGACCGUGUGUCCCCUAUAGGUUUUUAAUGGUUGCAAGUCAGACAGUUACACAUCCUAGCACAUGGCAUGGCACACGGCAUGUGUGGCCAUUUUGAAAGUUACGUGGCCUGGCACACGGGCG